rnacentral:misc_RNA from 1 species
GAUGAAGAACGUAGCGAAAUGCGAUAAGUAAUGUGAAUUGCAGAAUUCAGUGAAUCAUCGAAUCUUUGAACGCACAUUGCGCCCUCUGGUAUUCCGGGGGGCAUGCCUGUUCGAGCGUCAUUAUAACCACUCAAGCUCUCGCUUGGUAUUGGGGCUCGCGGUUCCGCGGCCCCUAAAAUCAGUGGCGGUGCCUGUCGGCUCUACGCGUAGUAAUAUUCCUCGCGAUUGAGUCCGGUAGGUCUACUUGCCAGCAACCCCCAAUUUUUACAGGUUGACCUCGGAUCAGGUAGGGAUACCCGCUGAACUUAAGCAUAUCAAUAAGCGGAGGA